rnacentral:tRNA from 2 species
AUUUAAAUAGUUUAAAAAAAAUAUUGAUUUGUGGAAUCAAAGAUAUAAUACUUAUUUUAAAUA